rnacentral:rRNA from 1 species
GAUCCUGGCUCGGGAUGAACGCUGGCGGCGUGCUUAACACAUGCAAGUCGAACGAAGCACUUUAUUUGAUUUCCUUCGGGACUGAUUAUUUUGUGACUGAGUGGCGGACGGGUGAGUAACGCGUGGGUAACCUGCCUUGUACAGGGGGAUAACAGUUGGAAACGGCUGCUAAUACCGCAUAAGCGCACGGCAUCGCAUGAUGCAGUGUGAAAAACUCCGGUGGUAUAAGAUGGACCCGCGUUGGA